UACGUAGGGUGCGAGCGUUAAUCGGAAUUACUGGGCGUAAAGCGUGCGCAGGCGGUUGGUUAAGUCUGAUGUGAAAGCCCCGGGCUCAACCUGGGAAUGGCAUUGGAAACUGGCUGGCUAGAGUGUGGCAGAGGGGGGGUGGAAUUCCGCGUGUAGCAGUGAAAUGCGUAGAGAUGCGGAGGAACACCGAUGGCGAAGGCAGCCCCCCUGGGCUAGCACUGACGCUCAGGCACGAAAGCGUGGGGAGCAAACAGG
rnacentral:rRNA from 1 species